UUAAAUUGAAGAGUUUGAUCAUGGCUCAGAUUGAACGCUGGCGGCAGGCCUAACACAUGCAAGUCGAACGGUAACAGGAAGCAGCUUGCUGCUUUGCUGACGAGUGGCGGACGGGUGAGUAAUGUCUGGGAAACUGCCUGAUGGAGGGGGAUAACUACUGGAAACGGUAGCUAAUACCGCAUAACGUCGCAAGACCAAAGAGGGGGACCUUCGGGCCUCUUGCCAUCGGAUGUGCCCAGAUGGGAUUAGCUAGUAGGUGGGGUAACGGCUCACCUAGGCGACGAUCCCUAGCUGGUCUGAGAGGAUGACCAGCCACACUGGAACUGAGACACGGUCCAGACUCCUACGGGAGGCAGCAGUGGGGAAUAUUGCACAAUGGGCGCAAGCCUGAUGCAGCCAUGCCGCGUGUAUGAAGAAGGCCUUCGGGUUGUAAAGUACUUUCAGCGGGGAGGAAGGGAGUAAAGUUAAUACCUUUGCUCAUUGACGUUACCCGCAGAAGAAGCACCGGCUAACUCCGUGCCAGCAGCCGCGGUAAUACGGAGGGUGCAAGCGUUAAUCGGAAUUACUGGGCGUAAAGCGCACGCAGGCGGUUUGUUAAGUCAGAUGUGAAAUCCCCGGGCUCAACCUGGGAACUGCAUCUGAUACUGGCAAGCUUGAGUCUCGUAGAGGGGGUAGAAUUCCAGGUGUAGCGGUGAAAUGCGUAGAGAUCUGGAGGAAUACCGGUGGCGAAGGCGGCCCCCUGGACGAAGACUGACGCUCAGGUGCGAAAGCGUGGGGAGCAAACAGGAUUAGAUACCCUGGUAGUCCACGCCGUAAACGAUGUCGACUUGGAGGUUGUGCCCUUGAGGCGUGGCUUCCGGAGCUAACGCGUUAAGUCGACCGCCUGGGGAGUACGGCCGCAAGGUUAAAACUCAAAUGAAUUGACGGGGGCCCGCACAAGCGGUGGAGCAUGUGGUUUAAUUCGAUGCAACGCGAAGAACCUUACCUGGUCUUGACAUCCACGGAAGUUUUCAGAGAUGAGAAUGUGCCUUCGGGAGCCGUGAGACAGGUGCUGCAUGGCUGUCGUCAGCUCGUGUUGUGAAAUGUUGGGUUAAGUCCCGCAACGAGCGCAACCCUUAUCCUUUGUUGCCAGCGGUCCGGCCGGGAACUCAAAGGAGACUGCCAGUGAUAAACUGGAGGAAGGUGGGGAUGACGUCAAGUCAUCAUGGCCCUUACGACCAGGGCUACACACGUGCUACAAUGGCGCAUACAAAGAGAAGCGACCUCGCGAGAGCAAGCGGACCUCAUAAAGUGCGUCGUAGUCCGGAUUGGAGUCUGCAACUCGACUCCAUGAAGUCGGAAUCGCUAGUAAUCGUGGAUCAGAAUGCCACGGUGAAUACGUUCCCGGGCCUUGUACACACCGCCCGUCACACCAUGGGAGUGGGUUGCAAAAGAAGUAGGUAGCUUAACCUUCGGGAGGGCGCUUACCACUUUGUGAUUCAUGACUGGGGUGAAGUCGUAACAAGGUAACCGUAGGGGAACCUGCGGUUGGAUCACCUCCUUACCUUAAAGAAGC
rnacentral:rRNA from 1 species